AUUUGAUCUGAAAUCAGGUGGGACUACCCGCUGAACUUAAGCAUAU
rnacentral:rRNA from 1 species